GGGGAAGGAGUCAUGGAUGCUGGAGGGGCUGCCCAGGCCGCUGGGGAAGCAGGGGGCCCAGCUCAAGGGACCUGGGUGCUGGCCAGGACGCCACCGCCCAGAGCAAAGAAACUGCUUCCUGCUGUGACAGCCCUGUGUGUGCAGACAGACCUCCUCUUCUGAGCCUCCCAUUCCUGGAAGACGGCUUCCAGUUCCUCCUCCUCUCUGUGAUGUUUCUCAGGAGCAAAGCCCCACCAUACACACACCGCCCUUACCCAUCAACAGACCUUGGGCCUAAAGCCUAAAUUCAGACAUCCACCAGCCUGAAGAGUGUGGGUAAAGACUUGGUGGAAAGUCAUUCUCCACUGACAGGCACCACUGUGGGAAGACCUACUGCCAGGAACCCUGCCCUCAAGCUUCCAUGUAUCCUAUUUUGCUAUGACCCAGGAACAAACACCCCGUCUCCCCAAGGGGCCCCAUUUCCUGAGAGAUAGUGAGCUGCUAUUGCGAACACCCCAAAUCCUCGGGGGCUGGCAGAACCCGAGGCAGGAGUGCGACACGUAGCAGAGGGGAACUGGGUAUGAGACGCUGGGCAUGGCUGCAGUGGGGAGGGCCAUCCUGGACUCUGUCUCCUGUCCUUCCUCCUGCUGACCGGUGACCUGAUCCUGGGUAAGCACAUCUCAGCCUUGCUGGCUGCCCCAGCACCUUCCCAGAAACAGGGCUAACACUGCCUAAGGCCCUGGCAGCCCCUGCCUGGCUGCCCCAGCUGAUCUACCCUCCAGAUUGGACCCAAAGACCACUGCCCACACUCCACUGGGACAUACCUGAAGCUCCCAUACUCCUCACACUGCUCCUGGGUGACCCUGCUCAGGCUUCUGCUGGAGCCCUCUUCCCUCACCCAUCACUGACCAGGGGUCUAAAACAUUCACUGUGGGUAUCCAGGAAACAAAGAUCCCCAAGUGCCCUAUUUUAAAAAUCCCAGUGUCUGGUGACUGGACACAAAUACAAGCCAGAAGCAUGCUCUCCAGACUCGUUUUCUGGAGUUCUAAUGCA